rnacentral:rRNA from 1 species
GACGAACGCUGGCGGCGUGCUUAACACAUGCAAGUCGAACGGAAAGGCCUGCUUUCCCUUGUGGAUUGCGGGUACUCGAGUGGCGAACGGGUGAGUAACACGUGAGUGAUCUGCCCCCAACUUGGGUAUAAGCCUGGGAAACUGGGUCUAAUUCCCGAUAGGACUGCAGGGUGGUGCCUGUGGUGGAAAACGAUUUUCUAGUGGUUGGGGAUGAGCUCGCGGCCUAUCAGCUUGUUGGUGGGGUAAUGGCCUACCAAGGCGGCGACGGGUAGCCGGCCUGAGAGGGUGGACGGCCACAUUGGGACUGAGAUACGGCCCAGACUCCUACGGGAGGCAGCAGUGGGGAAUAUUGCACGAUGGGCGGAGGCCUGAUGCAGCGACGCCGCGUGGGGGAUGACGGCCUUCGGGUUGUAAACUCCUUUCGACCGCGAGGAAGCCACCUGGUUGGAAGGGUGGUGACGGUAGUGGUAGAAGAAGCACCGGCUAACUACGUG